AUCCAGCUGACGAGUCCCAAAUUGGACGAAACGCGCGUCCUAAAU
rnacentral:hammerhead_ribozyme from 1 species